GGCGGGGUUGGCUCUAACGAAUUUGAAUGAGGAGCCUCAGCGCUUUCGGCGCCAUUUUCGAGUGAUGCCUGAUCUCAUCAAUCUAGCGGGAGAGACAGGAUAACCUGUCCGAGAGUAUAGCGCCACUAUGACUCCGCCGGAAAAAUUACUUUAAAAAUCGCCAAAAAUUACUUGGAGCAAAGGGCAGUCGGCGGAGCUUCGCCAAGGCUGGCGCAGUCGGUUUAAUAAUGAUAGAAUGAAGACCACAAUAAAAGAGACCUCUACUUAGCUCAGCAAUUCUUACCUUUCUUACCUAUUUGAUGAAGAUGUCUUUUGAAAGGUGUACUGCAAGGAACAAAAUGUUUGUAAAUUCUCCUUUUACCAAGGUGGAUAAUUACUGUACCUUCCUCAUGGAAAAAGUUUUAUUUAAAGUGUUAUUUCUCAUUGAAUACUAUCAAAAAGGAAAAAAAAAUGACCUAAACUUUUGAGAUAGAUUUGGCUCUAGUAAGUAUUUAGUUAUAUCACUUGCAUAUCUGGGAGAAGAAAUAAGAGACUAUCAUCAGUACAUUCCCAUCUACUAAAAAAAUUUAUUUUACACAUGUCAAGGGAUUACUUAUAACUUCCAUUUUAUUACUAAUAGCUUGAACCCUUUUAAUGAAGACCUAACUCCUCCACCAGAAAUUUAAGUUUAUGUUCUUACUUUGUUUACUUAUAAAAUACAUCUCAGGUAUUUCGGAUGUCUUUUUUUUUUCUAAGCCUAUAUGAAAUGAAAAAUAUAUUGGCAAAAUAAAUGUUUAAACCUUUUACGUUAAAAUUACUUUGAAAGAUGAAAAGUUAGUGCUGUUUUUGUCUACGUUAUACUGAAAUUAAAUGUUUAUAAUUUAUAUUUUGGGUUUAUGUAUAAAUCAUGGAAUUUAUGCAAAAAUAUGAGUAGUACAGAUUCUCCUCUAAUUCUGUAGGACUUUGAAUAAUGUGAUAUUUUUCUUAUAAUUGGACCCUUGUGUUUUGAAGAAAUGCCAACUGCUUGAAGAAUCUCCUUGUUAUUUGUAUUAUUUGCUAUAGGGUUAGAUGUUGAGAAAUUCUGCUGACAAAAAAUUUUAAGCCAGUUUUACACUAAAUGUUCCUCAGUCUGAUUAAUUUGUUAUUGGAUGUAUUCUGUAUCUUUCUUUUGUAAUUUGUAACUUUUAUCCACUUAGCACGAAUGAUUCUAUUAAAGAAAAUCAUUAGGAAGUGGUAGAAACUUUAAAUCGCCCCAGAGUUUGCCUGUUUCCAUAUUUUAUUAUCUUAUAAUCUUCGGGAGUGCUUACACUUAUGGAGCUAACAUUUUCAGAGAUACAGCUUCUUAUAGUAACACUAAAACUUUCUUCCUCUUUGGACUGAAUACCUAUAAUUAUAACUAUAUGGUAGUUUAAGUUUCCUUGUGAUUAGUCAAAAAUACCAUUUUAGUAUGAAGCAAUGAAGUCUAUUAUUUGUUGUCCCAUAAUUGAGAAAGCUUAAAUACACCUUUUAUUAAGAGUUUGUAAAUUCUAGCUUAGUCUACACAGAUUUUUAUAUCAAUUUGUUUAUAUUUUUAUUAAUGUCAUUUCUGGAAGUGUGAAAAUGUUAAUGUUCAACAAGCAACAUUAAAAAUAGAUUUGAAACAUUUAUAUAUAGAGAGGUACACAUUUAUUUACUGUUUAGGUACUGAAGAUUAUCACUUAAUAAAAAAUAUAUAUCCCA
rnacentral:lncRNA from 1 species